CCUACGUGAGGCAGCAGUGGGGGAUAUUGCACAAUGGGGGGAACCCUGAUGCAGCGACGCCGCGUGGGUGAAGGAGCGUUUCGGCGCGUAAAGCCCUAUCGGCAGGGAAGAAGAUGACGGUACCUGGCCAAGAAGCCCCGGCUAACUACGUGCCAGCAGCCGCGGUAAUACGUAGGGGGCAAGCGUUAUCCGGAUUUACUGGGUGUAAAGGGGGCGCAGACGGCAAUGCAAGCCAGGAGUGAAAGCCCGGGGCCCAACCCCGGGACUGCGCUUGGAACUGGAUGGAUGGAGUACAGGAGGGGCAGGCGGAAUUCCUAGUGUAGCGGUGAAAUGCGUAGAUAUUAGGAGGAACACCGGUGGCGAAGGCGGCCUGCUGGACUGUGACUGACGUUGAGGCACGAAAGCGUGGGGAGCGAACAGGAUUAGAUACCCUUGUAGUC
rnacentral:rRNA from 1 species